rnacentral:rRNA from 1 species
UACGAAGGGGGCUAGCGUUGUUCGGAUUUACUGGGCGUAAAGCGCACGUAGGCGGACCGUUAAGUCAGGGGUGAAAUCCUGGAGCUCAACUCCAGAACUGCCUUUGAUACUGGGAAGCUUGAGUUCGGGAGAGGUGAGUGGAACUGCGAGUGUAGAGGUGAAAUUCGUAGAUAUUCGCAAGAACACCAGUGGCGAAGGCGGCUCACUGGCCCGAUACUGACGCUGAGGUGCGAAAGCGUGGGGAGCAAACAGG